GGCCUAAUGGCCCAAUGGCAAGGCGCUUGACUACGAUUUAAGGAUCACCGUCAACCUAGGUUCGAAUCACAACUAACACG